AUAUAUCAAGACAUUAUAUAUUGUAUAUUAUUUAUAAAUGCAUAUAAUAGAAUAAUGUUGAUGGUGAUAAUAGUUAUAAUAUUCGGAUAUCUGGGUUUAUUUACAAGAUAGUGUUACCUAUAUCAUGUCACAGCAAUUAUACUUUUUGUGCUACUUUUUCGGGUGUGGGAUUUUGCUGUUGGUUUUAAGUUAAGACAACGUUAUAACGGUAAUUUUGACGGUGAUAGAGGUCACGGAGUGAGCACGUGUAGCGAAAGAGCAAGGGACUGUUUUGGACUUUCAUUGGAAUUGUUUACAAAUCAAAUUUUGAUGGAUACAGCGUUAUCUUUCCUUUUUAAAAGCUAUCGGGUGCUACACAUGACGUUGCGUCUAAAUUCAUAUAUCUUUAAACGAAGUGGAGCCGAAAAUCGAAAGUUGAUAGCAAUUUAGGGAGACAAGCUGGUACUACAUACAUCCAAAGUUGGAAGGGCCAAUUUGCGAGCUUCAGUGGCUGUACAUUUUAAAUUAUACUACAAUGGCCAGUAUACGAUGCUUUGAUUGAUUGAUUAACAUUUUUAACCUGGAUUUAAGAUUAUACUUAUCUUAUCAAACAAUUUUACAAGGUUUUCAUGAUGUACAUUAGAAAACAGGUUUGUCCCAAACUCAAGUGUGCUCUCUCAUCAGUUUAGGUGGAAUGAUGUAAGGUAUACAAAGGCACAUAUAAAGGAGGUAGAAGGUUUAUGAAUAUACAAUAUACUUAUGUAUAUGCACAGAAUUAUUUAAAUGUGAACAAAUUUAGCUAGAAGUAUAUGUUCGUAUAUGUAUGAUAAAAUGUGUUUGAAAUAUGCUCUUUGAAAUUUUACAGAUUAGAUUUAUCAUAUAUAUUUUAGGGUGGAACAUUUACCCUACUGUGUUCAAUAUGCCUCUAUUCUAUUGAAUGCUAAUACUAAAACGUUUUUUAAUUGACUUAGAACAUUUAGUUUUAGACUACGUAUAGUUAAAUUUUACUACAAUAUGCUUACAUUCAUAUUUCUUGUAACAUAUAGCAGAUCAUGACUCAUGCUGGCAUUACACAAUGGUUUCUCUGGGUUUUAUUCCUGAUUGUUUUCAAAUUUGAGUGAAGUCUGUGUCACUACAGGCCUGGACAGCGCAGUGGACGCUUACGGCUAGCCCCCGGAUCCAUUCAAUUUAUUUGAAUUGUGCGUUUGUUUGUGAGUUCUGCGUAAUAUGUCUUGUCCGUAUAUUUGUUUUUGUGUAAAUUAUGUGUGGUGCAGUCCCCCUGCACUUACUAUUAGUCUAUCAGAUGGAUAGUAACUUUAGCCUCUAGAGCGUCCACAAGAUUUUUCAAAGUGAUCAAGGGUCAUAACUCUGGCAGUAAUUAUCGGAAAUCAAUAGGCUUCUUCGUCUAAUGACUGUUAAUACUGUGUAUAAAUUGAAAGUCAAUCAGAUAUUAACUUUAGCCUCUAGAGCCUCCACAAGCAAUUGUGGACGCAGGACCGUUGGACGGACCGAUGGUCUGAUGGCAAUAUAUGACCACAUUGAAAUGUGUUCGUAUAAAAAAUUUCAUUUUUUGUACAAUCAGGGGCCAUAAUCCAGGAAGCUAUGGUCCGAUAUACACGAGUAUCAACAGGAACCAAGAUCUUUCGGAUAUAAACAUAUAUUCUAAGUUUCAUCGAAAUCGGAUAAAAAUUGUGACGUCUAGAUAUAAAAUUGUUUAUAUCCCAGAGAUUUCGAUUACUUUUGAUAUUUGUGCAUAUUGAACCUGGAUUAUGUCCCCUGAUUGUACAAAAAAUUGCUUUUAUUUAGCUUGCAAAAUGUGGGCGUAUCUUGCAUGGCAACCGCUUGUUAAAAUUAAAUACUAAUCUUGUUUGUGUUUUUGUAUCAAACAAUUCUACAUGAAAAUAGUGUUGGAUUAUUAUAAAUUUGUGUCGGAUGUGACAAGAAAUGAUUCCUUUUGGUGAUUAAAGAAGAAUCACAGUGAAAAAUAGAUGGUAAGGAUUCCAAAAUAGCCUUUGAACCCAGGUGGGGGAAAAGCCUUAUUUUCAUAUUAACGGAUAGUAACGGAUAGAGAACAGAGCUGAUAAGAUCCGUUACUAAAGUUAGUACAGUUUAUUAGAGUGUCAUCUGUCAAUAGCUAUCGUUUCAAAAAAAUUCUAUAAUAUGGGUUUAGUUGUAAAGUCACACAUAAGUAAAAUGUGAAUUUAUAUGGAUAAAAAAACGCCUUCCCGCUUCUAGAAUGUUCCAGUUUUUAUAAACGAGUCAUCGCAAGUUUGAAUUACUUUCUGUUAGCGCCAUGAAGUUUAUCAACCACUAUUUACUCCUUAUGCAUAUCAUUAACACAAACAACCAAUCAAAAACACUCUAGAUAAUAUUACGCGCCAAUUUGACCUCAAGUUCACAGGUCAAAAGGCGAGUCUGAGUUGGCGUGUUUACUUUGAGACGAUGAAGUGCCCUAUUCACCUCGUAGACAAAGAUUGUGGAAAGCUGAUUAAAUUUACAGAUACCAGUUGGAAUAAGGUUGUUUUAAGUUUAAAAGAAUGGACUAAUCUUGAUGGAAACGAGCUAAAAUUGUGCCAACAAUAUUAAGAUGUAUUUGAGGGUAAGUUUAUCAACUAAAUCAUACUAAAAUUGAAAGUAGAGUCCCCGUUUUAUUUUUUCGCGAAACACAAAAUUUUUUGUUGUUUACAUUUUAAAUUAAAUUCUUAAUGAUAGGCAGAUUAAAUUUUAUAGACACCUGUGCUCAUGACAAAUGCUCGGGACAGUACAACGCAACGGGAGCUUACGUCCGUAUAUAAUAUUUCUUGUUUGUUGACAUUGCUGUGUGCAAGUUACGAUAAAUAAUAAUAAUGUUUGUUGACAUUCAUUUGUAUAGUCUCGUUAUAUAGUUCAUAGAUAGGUUUGUUUUAAAAUCGAUAGCAUUCACGCUAGCCUUUGGUUUUAUUUUAUUAACCCCAGAUUGUCUAAGUGUCUUUUCACAAAUCAAGUGCAAACAGGUGGCAGUGUCUUAUUGUUUUUCAUAAAAGAAAAGUAAUUGUUAUUAUGGAUAUUUGUUGCACCUAAAUUCUUCUCUCAGGUUCUAAUUUGCUUAUUUUGUUUAUGUGUGCAAUAAUAUUAGGAGUAUGUUUGUAUUUAUAGGGAAUAAAGAUGAUGCACUACCGGUUUAUGGCUAUCAUUCCAAGUGUUAUUCGAGAUUCACAGACAGAACAAAGAUUGAAGGAGCUACUAAAAGAGUUGCAUUACAGUCUGGUGAGAAGCAAACGAGUGAUGAGAGUCAAUCCACGUCUAGAAAGGUUUGCGAUCAGCCGCCACUAAAUCAUCAACCACCCAAGCUGUCCACCUGCGAUAAUAAUAUUUGAAAACAGAAGAGCAAUAUUUACAAGAGGACAUGUCUUGUCUCCUGUGUGCAUUAUCUGCAAAAAAGUACCUUUGUUCUACAGGUGUCAGAAUAAGACUUUCUCUGAUAAACUGGUUUUAGCAGAAACUAAAGAUGGGGAGUGACUUCGAGAAGCAGCAAUUAAGAAAGAAGAUGAAACCAUUCUCAGGCACAUCAGAGAUAAAGACUGUGUACCAUCUACAAUGCUACAAGGAUUAUGUUCGAUUCCUAACAAGAAAACCCACAGUUCAGUCGUCAGGGUCUUCAGAGGUGUCUGCAUAUGAGACAACCUUUGAUAUAUUUUGUGAAGAUGUGAUUAGAAAAAAAAUUAUUUUCAACAAAGAAAUUCUGUGAAUGGCCAAGUUAUUAGAUAUGUUUAUUAAGAUGGCAAAGGACAUUGAACAAGUCGACAUUUCAAACUACCGGUAAUAAUUUGUUAUUUCUGUACAAUGGUUUUGUCCUUUGGGGGUGGGGGCGAUUUAGCCAAUUGGUCUGUCAUUAAUGGGCUCAACGGUUUGAAUCCUCUUCUCAAUGACAAGGUGUGGGAGUAUGCAGGGGUAUUCCGGUUUGUCCUACUGUACUACUAAUAUGUAGGCGAAUUAUCUGCCAUUGCAAGUGGAUUGGUGCAAAAUAACCAGAUAGCAGUGUCAGCGUGCAAUAAAACAACAUUCAGUGGAUAUGAUUUAUGUGAAUUAAUUUUUGAAAUGUUGUUUUUAAUUACAAUACACAGGCAUGAUUUAUAUCUUUAAAAAAAACCCAAACAAUAUAUCUUAAGAUAAAUAAAUGUGUAAAUACUUUUCCAUUUGUUGAUUUUAGUACUUUGUUUAACUGUUUGUUUUAUAUGUUUUUAUAUUUUACAUUCUCACUAUUUAAGCAUUAAUUAUUGCACAACUGUUACAGCAAGAUUUAAAUAAAUUAUUGAUAUAACAGUUAUUAAAAAUUAAAAAAAGGUUUUCUGUAUUUUAAAAAAAAUAUUGAUAUUGAAAUGUAAUUGUAAAUUGCAAUACACAGGCUUAAUUUAUAUCUAUUUAAACCUUUAAUACUAGUCAUUAAAUAAAAGAUUAAUGUUUUAAAUUUGUUUUCAUUCUUUGUUUGGUGAUAGGGUGAGUUGCCAAGGGGGAAAUUUGGUCUUUGUUCAAUAUUUAUAGGACAUUUAUGAUACGAGUUAUCUCCCCUUAUACCUUUUUACCUGGGACCCCUAUUUGAAAUAUCACGUUUAUGCAUUGUUUUUUUGGUUGAAAUCAAAUAUGUCUAUGCAAUUAUCAA